rfam:Stegodyphus mimosarum contig1297, whole genome shotgun sequence.
GCCUUCGUGGUGCAAUGGUCAACACACUCGACGCGUAUUCCAGAGGUCCGAGGUUCGAAUCCCGGCGAGGGCA